GUUGUAAUGUGCUUAACAGUCGAAACCUUCAAACUCAUAACAGUACAUGAGUACACGUAUAUUCAACCACUAAGAAGCUUUUUAUUCCAAGCUAACCUCAUUGCAUUACCUAUAACGCACUUUGACAUGUCCUCUUCAUUGUAGCAAAGGUUUCGACUGUUAAGCACAUUACAACCGAAGACACAUUCUUCCCUCUAUGUAGUUACUAGUUAGAAUCACAUUUCCAGUUUGAAUCUUAAAAGUAUUCUAAGGACAUCCUCUGCAAAGAUAGAGGGGUUCCCUCAAAUUAAAUUGUAUAAUAGUACAGGAGAGAAACAAGUCCAGAUUCAAACUUCCAAUUCACAUUGAGGCUCACCUUUCCAAGGGAUCUCCUCUAUUUGAAUUUAAAGAAGGAUAAGCAACCGCAGCAAUUUUGCCUCGAAGAUUGUAUUUCUUAGCAAUCAGUGGCCUCACAUCUUCAACCCCGACUAAGCUCUCCAAAAAUGGAAUCAGUAAAAGCAAUUCUUUAUCUGAACGAUCAUCAAACCAGCUCUGAAUUGGUAUACCAUUGUCCACUUGGAACCCAAAUGCCUGAGGAGAAUUGUCAAUUAUAACAACAUGUGCCAAAUCACGGCCAAGAACUGACAAAUCCUUGAGGUAAUUCCCCUCCACGAAAACACACGAUUCACG
rnacentral:misc_RNA from 1 species